ACUGGUGCACCUGGUCACCUGGGCUGGUGCUCAUAGCCUGUUUGUGGCGAUGCUGAGGCAGCAGGAAGCUACACGCGGUCUCUUCAUUUGCUGCCGAGCAGCUCCAGUGCUGGAGGGAGUGCCCGCUGCUGUGCAGAGAUGCUACAUCGGAUUGAUUGAAAGGCUGGUCAUGACUAUUUCUGUCUACAGAUCAGGAGCUCAGAGGAAUUACCGGAUUAUUUGAUUUCCGUAAUUUACACUACAGUGUGACCAUCUAUAGAGGCUUAAUCUGUUUGAGGAGAAUGUGUAUUUUAAAGGAGUUUUGUAAUCCAACUGGACUCAAAUUGAAAAGUAGAUGAUCAAGCUUGGGCCACCUAGACUGUCAGGUUCCAGAGAGCUGGGAUGACCGCUGUGCUGCCUGCCCUGCAUCCUUCUCUGUUCUCCCAGCUCCAGCCCCUCAGCUGUCCAGAGAGUGUCCCUCACAAACACCCUCCGACACAUGGCAUUCUGGCUUUAGGGCUGGACAGACAGCAACUCAAACAAGCCUUUGCUGUCCCUUUGGGGAAGAGAGCCUUCUUUCUCCUGGGGCUGCCAAGUCUGAAGGAUGUAAGCUGGGGCCCUGGGCUGCAGAACUUUUCAGUUGCUUGAACCAAUCCUUUUCUUUUAACGCAACCAAGCUGAGUCACUUGCAACCAAUGGUUGCCAACACCCUACCAGGGAGAGAAAGCCCACAUCAGCACCUCAAGGAAAGAGGCUCCUGGUUGAGGAUCGAUUCACUUACCAGCUCCCACGUUGAAAACGGCAGUUCCCGAAGAGAAACCCAGCAUGCGGCAGAAGACGGUGGCAUCUGAAUUGUCCCAGUCAUCAUCGCAAAUUGUCCCCCAGGCACCAUUAUAGUAAAUUUCAGCCCGGCCUCGGUUCCUAGAGCCAGCAAUCCGGACGGAUACCGUGGAUUCGCCUGGAUGACAAAACACACAUGGGAGAGAUCCUAUCAUGAGGAGAAAAACCACACAGUUCGAAGGAAACCAAGCCAGGACCCCCUUGCCCUCCUUUGCCAGCAGUGGGGAGGAGGGGCGGGCAGGAGGGUGGAGGGGUGAGGGUCAGACUCCCUCCUUCAGCUUUGCCAGCCACCUGACAUCAUGGGGACUGGAUGUGCCGUGGGAUCCCAUGGGUGAGCAAGAAGAAGUGGGCCUGGGGCUUCCCUGGUGGCGCAGUGGUUGAGAGAGUCCGCCUGCCGAUGCAGGGGAUAUGGGUUCGUGCCCCAGUCCGGGAAGAUCCCA